rnacentral:rRNA from 1 species
AUGCAUAUAGAUAGCUUAUUUGCAUUGUUCAAAAAACUUUGUAGUCUCAACGAUGAUGCAUACAUGUCCACUAUGGGUGUUGGGUCCAACAAUUCGCAUUGGUCUCAAACCAAUGACAUCCAUUUCGAAGACCAUGAGUUUGAGGUGGACGAGGAGGGUGAGGGAAUUGUCGAGGCGCCGAAAGGAAGAGCGGGCAAUUACUCAACCAACGAUGACAAGUUACUAUGCAAUACUUAUUUGCAUGUGUCGAGGGAUCCAUCCAUUGGAGGUGAUCAAAGUAGAGACGCGUAUUGGGGGCGAAUGAAAGAACACUUUGAUGCUCACAAUAAGAGUGGAAUUGACCGCUCCGAGAGAUCACUUCGGUCCCGAUGGUCGACAAUCAACUCGGAUUGUCAAAAGUGGGCGGCCGUACAAAAGGCCGUUGACAAGAUUAACCCAAGUGGCACAAAUGAGGAUGAUCGAGUAAGUGGCAUCUCAUAUAUGUUCAUCAUACUUGUUUUUGGUGACCGAAGUGCUAACUUGUUUUGUUUUUCUUGUAGUACAACAUUGCACAAAACUUGUUCAAAGAAGAGACAAGGACAACCAAGAAGGGGAACAUCAAGAAAGGCAGGAUCUUUACCUUGCCUCAUUGCUAUGAAGUGUUAA